rnacentral:rRNA from 1 species
GAUGAACGCUGGCGGCGUGCCUAAUACAUGCAAGUCGAGCGAACGGACGAGAAGCUUGCUUCUCUGAUGUUAGCGGCGGACGGGUGAGUAACACGUGGAUAACCUACCUAUAAGACUGGGAUAACUUCGGGAAACCGGAGCUAAUACCGGAUAUACUUUGAACCGCAUGGUUUAAAAGUGAAAGAAGGUUUUGCUGGUAACUAUAGAUGGAACCGCGCUGCAUUAGCUAGUUGGUAAGGUAACGGCUUACCAAGGCAACGAUGCAUAGCCGACCUGAGAGGGUGAUCGGCCACACUGGAACUGAGACACGGUCCAGACUCCUACGGGAGGCAGCAGUAGGGAAUCUUCCGCAAUGGGCGAAAGCCUGACGGAGCAACGCCGCGUGAGUGAUGAAGGUCUUCGGAUCGUAAAACUCUGUUAUUAGGGAAGAACAUAUGUGUAAGUAACUGUGCACAUCUUGACGGUACCUAAUCAGAAAGCCACGGCUAACUACGUG